rnacentral:tRNA from 1 species
GCAGUCGUGGCCGAGUGGUUAAGGCGAUGGACUCGAAAUCCAUUGGGGUCUCCCCGCGCAGGUUCGAAUCCUGUCGGCUGCG